ensembl:lncRNA
UGAAUCCCUGGCACCUAGUAUGGUGCCCAACACAUAGUAGGAGCUCAAUAAAGACUGGUCAAAUAGAUUAAUCAAUUAGUUUUAUUUGUUGAAAUGCAAAGUCCCAGCGUAAGGACGCAGAAUAGUUGAGCAGGCCGAGACGGUGUUGCCCAUCCUCUCCAUCAAGCAUAAGGAGAGAAGCGGGGACACAAAGAUUUUAAGGGGCCUUAUAUAUGCUAGGUACUUGACAGUUGUCAUUGCAUAUAAUUUUCACCACAAUCUUACAAGACAGAAGUUACCCCCAUUUUACAGAUGAGAAAUUGAGGCUCAGAGAGGUGAAGAAAUAUGUCCACCCAACCCCCAGUCUUCACUCUUCCAAGCUGCCAGCCUUCAGGGCGAGGUUGCUCCAGAUAUCUCCUCCAGUUUACCGAGCCCUAGAUUCAGAAUCCUGGCUGCUUUGGCUCCAUCCACUUAUCAAAUCAGCAGUUGCCGUGUCUCCCACGCACUCAGAGCCAGUGCAGUGGCCCCCUGACACUCUUCCAGCUUGUCUUUCUGGGGAGCCCCAGCUUGCUUCUUCCACAAAGAUGACGAAGUCUCUCUUAGAAAGUGACCCAAGGCCUUCCCACAAGCAGCUGUCCACAUUCUCACCACAAUAAGGCCACGUGGUCACUACGUCCUGGCGUGGGCACAGGAAGCAAUCAGUGGGUGAGCAUCAACCUUGCAAAAUAAGAUGUCAGUGAACCAGUGAGUUUCCGGGCCCUGAGGAGAAAAGCUUACAGAAAAGACAGGGUGUUAUCUUGUUUAACCUCAUAAUAUCCUGUGAGGUAACUAUCAUGACCAGCUCCUUUUUACAGUGAGGAAACUGAGACUCAGAGAGGCAGGGACCCUUUGCCAAAGUCUCACAGCAAAUAAAUGAUAGAGCAAAAAUUUCAUCCUAAGUCAGUUGUUUCACUGGAUUUUUUAAAAAAUGUUUUAACUACAAAAGUAAUAUAAAUGUGUAAAAAAAUGUAAACAAGACUAAAGAGCAUAAUGGCCAAACAUCCUCCUUCCACUUCUGAAAUCACUGAAAAUAGUAUAUUUUUUCAGGCGUUUAUUUUUAGGUAGCUUUUCUUUUCUUUUCUUCUUUUUUGGUGAGGAAGAUUGGCCCUGAGCUAACAUCUGUUGCCAAUCUUCCUCCUUUUUUUUUCUCCCCAAAUCCCAGUUCAUAGUUGUAUAUCCUAGUUGUAGGUCAUUCUAGUUCUUCUAUGUGGGAUGCUGCCUCAGCAUGGCCUGAUAAGCAGUGUGUAGGUCUUUACCCAGGAUCUGAACCCACAAAACCUGGGCCACCGAAGCAGAGCACUCAAAUUUAACUAGUCUGCCACAGGGCCAAACCCCUCAGGCAUUUUUUAAUGCACCUACAACUGUAUAUAUACAUGCAUGUAUAUGCGGAUACAUACUGUAUACACACGUCCACCCCCCCCCCCCACUCAUACACAUAUGGAGCUGUACAAAUAUAGGAAUAUUCUCUGCACGUGCUUCUGACUGUUUGCUCUAUGCAUUCAACAAGCAAUCGUCGGCAUCCUUCAAGGCUGAUCAGGGCCAGGACUGGGGUGAGGUGAGAGAGGUGCCAGUCCUUUGACAGGGCAUGAACGCCUCCUUCAAUUUUCUCCCUCAGCCUCUCAUUUUGCUCUCCCCAGUCCCGGCCUUGCUUUGGAUGCAGCAUCUUCUUCAGUCUUCAGAGGAAGUGCAUGUUGCAGGCGGUGCUCUUGUCAUCAUCAUCUCCAUUUCACAGACGGGAAGUCUGAGGGCAGGCAGGCAAAGUGAUUUGCCCCAGUGUUGUCCAGGCGGAAGCCCAGGCUGUCCGGCGCAAAGCCGUGCUCCAGACCACGGGCUCUGCGGGAUCCGCCUAAGGUCCCAGCACAGCCCAAGGGAAGCCAGGACCAUGUGGCAGGCUGCUCUGCCAUCCACCGUGGAGUGCUGGCCCAUGCAUGGGGCAGAACGCACGGCGGUGGGGGGGAGUGGGGGGGGCAGGGCUCUCGGAGGAGGUGGCAUUUGAGAUGAGAUGUGAAGGUCGCCUAGGAUUUCAACAGCGGAGGGCAUGCCCGGAGGAGGAGGGAGCAGGGAGCACAGAGGCCUGGAGCCGGGAAAGGGCAGGGGCUGUUCCAGGACAGCGGGUCGGGUUUGGCUAGAGCGCAGUCACGACACGGACACGGACGCAGAAGGGAGUGGGGCGGCACGGCUGUGGGGCACGCCAGCACAGGGAUGCCCUGGGUGGGGUGAGAGGGCUUCACCCUGCUCCGCCCGGGGGCUGGGCAGCUUCCAUGGGGCUGGAGUGGGCAGUGAGCGCCGCCAUGCCCAGCAGCUGCCCCGUCCUUGUGCCUCGGGCUGGGGUGGGCAUUGCCGCGUCUCUUUGGAGAGAUAGAAGGAGCACUGGUCCCUCAGGCCACUUGCAUCUUCCUCUGUUGUAUUUUGGAAUGAAAGUGUUCAGCUCUAAGGCAUGACCCGGAAAGUUCUAGUGAGCCACAGGGCACUGGCUGAGUCCCAGGGGGACACAUGGGAAGUGGUACAGGAGGGGCUGUUUCUGGACUCCGGGGAAGUGAAGGCAAGGAGGCAGGUGCGAAGACAGGGCUUGCCCCCUGCAGCCCAUGAUGGAAGAUGGCCCUCUUGUGCCCUCCCUCUCCGUGCAUAAACAUCUUGAUUUCCACCAUCCUAAAAAGCAUGGGAACUUCUCAGGGAGACUAGAAUGCCCAGGUUUCAGGAACACAGGCUCUUUCUCCAUGAUUUGUGUCCAGAUUGCCCUCUCUGUGGAUCAUCUGUGGAAAAUCAUUAAUCCCUUAAUGGGCCCCAGAGCCACCCAGCUUGUUUCCCUGCUCCUUCCCAUCAUGCACUUCGGCAUGGCCUCCCGGAGCGUCUGUCUGGCCUCCCUUUUGAGAUCUGUGUCCUAAGCCAGAGAAGCAUGUCGGGGCCAGGGCAGAAGUGGCCAGGUCCACGGCUCAGCCCCACACAAGCAGCUUCCUCCCCUCUCCUCACCUCCGCCCACUCGGCUGCCUCAUGGCCUCCCCAGGCCAGCCCCAGUUGGCUCCAUCAGAGCAGGCCUGUCGCUGUGCCGCUUCACUGGCGCUAUUGUGGCCUCACUGCCUGGUGUCUAGGAGGUCUUGGGAAGUUGCUGGCUGUAGCGAGUCUUUCU